GUACUUGCUUUGUCAGCGCAUAUACUAAAAUUGGAACAAUACAGAGAAGAUUAGCAUGGCCCCCGUGAAAGGAUGACACGCAAAUUUGUGAAGUAUUCCAUAUUUUU
ensembl:snRNA U6 U6 spliceosomal RNA